rnacentral:rRNA from 1 species
AUUGAACGCUGGCGGCAUGCUUUACACAUGCAAGUCGAGCGGUAACAGGCCUUCGGGUGCUGACGAGUGGCGAACGGGUGAGUAAUGCAUCGGAACGUACCCAGAGGUGGGGGAUAACGCAGCGAAAGCUGUGCUAAUACCGCAUGUGAUCUGAGGAUGAAAGCGGGGGACCGAGCAGCAAUGUUUGGCCUCGCGCCUUUGGAGCGGCCGAUGUCGGAUUAGCUAGUUGGUGGGGUAAAGGCCUACCAAGGCGACGAUCCGUAGCUGGUCUGAGAGGACGACCAGCCACCCUGGGACUGAGACACGGCCCAGACUCCUACGGGAGGCAGCAGUGGGGAAUUUUGGACAAUGGGCGCAAGCCUGAUCCAGCAAUGCCGCGUGCGGGAAGAAGGCCUUCGGGUUGUAAACCGCUUUUGGCAGGAACGAAACGGUGUCCGCUAAUACCGGGCGCUAAUGACGGUACCUGCAGAAUAAGCACCGGCUAACUACGUG